UACAGAGGUCUCAAGCGUUGUUCGGAUUCAUUGGGCGUAAAGGGCGCGUAGGCGGUCUUCUAAGUCUUGUGUGAAAUCCCUCGGCUCAACUGAGGAACUGCACGGGAUACUGGAAGACUUGAGUUCGGGAGAGGGAAGCGGAAUUCCGGGUGUAGCGGUGAAAUGCGUAGAUAUCCGGAGGAACACCGGUGGCGAAGGCGGCUUCCUGGACCGAUUACUGACGCUGAGGCGCGAAAGCUAGGGUAGCGAACGGG
rnacentral:rRNA from 1 species